GCAGCAUUGUAUGAGAACUGCUAGAAUAUCACUCACCACUUCCCAUAGAGAUUCUGUUUGUUCAUCUGCUUGUCCCACUGUGUGCCUUACACAUAGUAGGUGCUCUUGGAAUGUGUGUGAGAUGGAUUAACAUGAGAAGUGCUUCUCUGCAUGAUUUCACCAUUGAAGUGUUGAAAGCAACUAGCACUCCUCCUUCCUGACCUCCAGGCUUCCACCCAGCUGUGGGGACUGCUGUGGUGGAAGGGCCUAGUCUGAAUCUGGACAGGGGAGGUGCCUGCAAAUAUUUUCGUGCCUGCAAAUAUUUUUGUGCCUCGGGACAGAUGGAUGUCCAGUUUACUGUCUGCUUCCUCAGUGGUUCUAGAGCUGCUCAGUCGCAGGCUCCAGAUGUCUGCUUCAGAAUUCAAGAACACCUUCCUGAGCUGGGAAACAGAUCCAAGGAAAUAUCAGCCAGAGGCUUCAUUUUAUCAUCUGUGGAAAUGCAAGAUGUUAGAGCACCUAGGAGGGUCUUAACGUGCAAAACACUGUCUUGAGGCUGCCUGCAGAACAGAGGGUCAUCUGCUUUCAUUAGAUUCUCAAGGGAGCCUCAACAGGCUACACCUGAACCCCAGGUUUGGGGCAUCUCUCCAGCCCUCCCAGCUCUGACAUCAUCAUCACCAUUAACAGCUGAAAUGUGUGAGGUGGUUGGGAUGUACCAACAACCCUCCCAAGAGUCCCAUAUCUACCUGACCUCAUUUGACCUUCACAGCAACCCAGUGACUCAGCUGCUAUUUGGCCCACGUUUUACAAACCUGAGUCAGUGUGCUUUACCUCAGUGACCCAAGAACCCAGGUGCUAGAGUCAGGCCUGCAUCCAAAUCAGGGGUGGGAUCAGUGGUGUGCCCUGAACAAAUCAUUAUCCUCUUUUUUGUUUUAUUUUUUGGAGACAGAGUCUCACUCUGUCACCCAGGCUGGAGUGCAGUGGUACAGUCUCAGCUCACAGCAACCACUCUCUCCUGGGUUCAAGUGAUUCUCCUGUCUCAGCCUCCCAAGUAGCUGGGGACUACAGGUGCGUGCCACCACGCUCAGCUAAUUUUUGUGUUUUAGUAGAGACAGGGUUUCACCAUGUUGCCUAGGCUGGUCUCGA
rnacentral:lncRNA from 10 species